AGAGUUUGAUCCUGGCUCAGGAUGAACGCUAGCGGCAGGCUUAACACAUGCAAGUCGAGGGGCAGCGCGGGGUAGCAAUACUCUGGCGGCGACCGGCGGAAGGGUGCGUAACACGUGAGCGACUUGCCCGUCACAGGGAGAUAACCGGCGGAAACGGCGACUAAUAUCCCAUAUGAUCCGAUGCUACAUGGCGUGGGAUUGAAAGAUUCAUCGGUGACGGAUAGGCUCGCGGGACAUUAGCUAGACGGCGGGGCAACGGCCCACCGUGGCGACGAUGUCUAGGGGUUCUGAGAGGAAGAUCCCCCACACUGGAACUGAGACACGGUCCAGACUCCUACGGGAGGCAGCAGUGAGGAAUAUUGGUCAAUGGGCGGAAGCCUGAACCAGCCAUGCCGCGUGAAGGAAUAAGGCCCUAUGGGUCGUAAACUUCUUUAGACGCAGAGCAAUAAGGUCCACGAGUGGAUCGAUGAGAGUAUGCGUAGAAUAAGCAUCGGCUAACUCCGUGCCAGCAGCCGCGGUAAUACGGGGGAUGCGAGCGUUAUCCGGAUUUAUUGGGUUUAAAGGGUGCGUAGGCGGCAAGGUAAGUCAGCGGUGAAAGACCAGGGCUCAACUCUGGAAGUGCCGUUGAUACUGUCUGGCUAGAAUGAUUCCGCCGUGGGAGGAAUGAGUAGUGUAGCGGUGAAAUGCAUAGAUAUUACUCAGAACACCGAUUGCGAAGGCAUCUCACGAGGGGUUUAUUGACGCUGAGGCACGAAAGCGUGGGGAUCGAACAGGAUUAGAUACCCUGGUAGUCCACGCAGUAAACGAUGAUGGCUAACUGUCGGGCCUUCGGGUUCGGCGGCCAAGCGAAAGCGAUAAGCCAUCCACCUGGGGAGUACGACCGCAAGGUUGAAACUCAAAGGAAUUGACGGGGGCCCGCACAAGCGGAGGAACAUGUGGUUUAAUUCGAUGAUACGCGAGGAACCUUACCCAGGCUCGAACGGCAUCUGAAUCGUCCAGAGAUGGGCGAGUCUUCGGACAGAUGUCGAGGUGCUGCAUGGUUGUCGUCAGCUCGUGCCGUG
rnacentral:rRNA from 1 species